rnacentral:lncRNA from 1 species
UGCCUUUUUUUGGGUUAACGGCGUUGUUUUGGUGAAAUGCUGUGUGUUUUGUUUCGUUUUCCUUUUUUAGUUUUUUUUUUUUUCUCCCACUAUAAAGCAGUAAUUAAUUGACCUUUGCACUGUUUGGACGUGCUCCUCUCCAGCUUGACGGCGCCGAAGGGCUCCACCCUUGGAAAACGAGGCACUAAAGUUGAACCGGCGCGAGGCAGAAACCCUGGGCUUUUUCCCCAAAACUCGUGGUGGGUGCUGCACCCGCAGCCCUGGUAGCGCCGCUCUCCGUUUUGCCAGCCUUUUCCUCGAAUUCACACCAGCAUUACUAAGAAAUAAGCUGCAGCAAUUAGAUUUUUGUAGAUUAUUUAAAUAAAAAAAAAAAAAGGGGGACAGCGAGGAGCCGCUCACGCCCCCCACGUUUACGAUUGCACAGACGUGUGCGAGCCCAAACCACGCUUUUUUUUUUUUUUUUUUUUUUUUUUUGGGGGGUGUUUUCCUUGUGGAGGAGCAGAUCCGGUGCAGAGGAAGGGAUCGGGCAGCGUCCUGCUGCCGUCCUGCCCGUGCCGCUGCUCCUCUCCUGGGCAUUAGCGGCUGCGCGCCGCCCCGGCACCUUGCUCCGUCCCGCAGCACUUCUGCCCCCCUGUAGCAAUAGGUACGGGCUCGGCCUCCCCCCACGGCCCCGUUUUUGUACCCGAUUUCAGGUUUUGACACUGUACUGUAGCGGGAGGAGUUCUGCCUUGGCCACGCUCCCUCUCUGCUCCCCUUGUAGCGCUUGUGGCAGGUGCCAGCAGCCGGAUUCCCAAAGCACCUGGACCAUCCCCGUGCCUGUUCCCAUCCCACACCCCACGUUUUAGCCAGAAGAAACUCAGAACUGCCUGAGAUGGGUGCUUUAUUUCCUUUUCUUAUUUUUUUUUUCCUAUGUCCUGCAGCAGGGUGAGCGGUGCCAGCCUGAUCGGUGCAAGCCUGUGAGGUUUUGGCAACGAGGGGGGCACGGGGAUGGGGGUGGGAGCCCCCUCCAUGGUCUGGGGGCUGCCGGAGCACUGCGCUCGGCU